UACGAAGGGGCUAGCGUUGCUCGGAAUCACUGGGCGUAAAGCGCACGUAGGCGGAUUGCUAAGUCAGGGGUGAAAUCCUGGAGCUCAACUCCAGAACUGCCCUUGAUACUGGCGGUCUCGAGUCCGGGAGAGGUGAGUGGAACUGCGAGUGUAGAGGUGAAAUUCGUAGAUAUUCGCAAGAACGACCAGUGGCGAAGGCGGACUCACUGGCCCG
rnacentral:rRNA from 1 species